UUGCUCUUCAACGAGGAAUCCCUAGUAAGCGCAAGUCAUCAGCUUGCGUUGAUUACGUCCCUGCCCUUUGUACACACCGCCCGUCGCUACUACCGAUUGAAUGGCUCAGUGAGGCGUCCGGACUGGCCCAGAGAGGUGGGCAACUACCACUCAGGGCCGGAAAGCUCUCCAAACUCGGUCAUUUAGAGGAAGUAAAAGUCGUAACAAGGUCUCCGUUGGUGAACCAGCGGAGGGAUCAUUACCGAGUUUACAACUCCCAAACCCCUGUGAACAUACCUAUACGUUGCCUCGGCGGAUCAGCCCGCGCCCCGUAACAAGGGACGGCCCGCCCGAGGACCCCUAAACUCUGUUUUUAGUGGAACUUCUGAGUAAAACAAACAAAUAAAUCAAAACUUUCAACAACGGAUCUCUUGGUUCUGGCAUCGAUGAAGAACGCAGCAAAAUGCGAUAAGUAAUGUGAAUUGCAGAAUUCAGUGAAUCAUCGAAUCUUUGAACGCACAUUGCGCCCGCCAGUAUUCUGGCGGGCAUGCCUGUUCGAGCGUCAUUUCAACCCUCAGGCCCCCAGUGCCUGGUGUUGGGGAUCGGCCCAGCCUUCUCGCAAGGCCGCCGGCCCCGAAAUCUAGUGGCGGUCUCGCUGUAGUCCUCCUCUGCGUAGUAGCACAACCUCGCAGUUGGAACGCGGCGGUGGCCAUGCCGUUAAACACCCCACUUCUGAAAGUUGACCUCGGAUCAGGUAGGAAUACCCGCUGAACUUAAGCAUAUCAAUAAGCGGAGGA
rnacentral:rRNA from 1 species